rnacentral:rRNA from 1 species
CACGUAGGGUGCGAGCGUUGUCCGGAAUUAUUGGGCGUAAAGAGCUCGUAGGCGGUGUGUCGCGUCGGCCGUGAAAACCUGCAGCUUAACUGUGGGCUUGCGGUCGAUACGGGCAUCACUGGAGUUCGGCAGGGGAGACUGGAAUUCCUGGUGUAGCGGUGAAAUGCGCAGAUAUCAGGUGGAACACCGGUGGCGAAGGCGGUGGUCUGGGCCGGAACUGACGCUGAGGAGCGAAAGCGUGGGGAGCGAACAGG